rnacentral:tRNA from 1 species
AGUCUUAUAGUCAAUUAUGAUUUUAAAUUGCAAAUUUAAAGGUAAAGCCCAUUUUAAGGCUU